ensembl:lncRNA
AUGGCGUGGGUGCUGCCGAGGUCCCGGGGUGCUCGGUCCCGGGGUGCUCGGUCCCGGGGUGCUCGGUCCCGGGGUGCUCGGCGUCUCCCUCGCCGGGGCGAAGCGGCGCUGCGACCGGAGUGUUUUGCAGAACGCGGACGGGAAGCUGACGCUGCAGGAGUUUCAGGAGGGCUCCAAGGCCGACCCCUCCAUCGUGCAGGCGCUCUCCCUCUACGACGGGCUCGUAUAGUCCCGGGGCCGAGCGGCGAUGCCUGGGGGAAGACGCUCUCCGUGCCAUCCGACCACCGCCGCGCGAAGCUUGCCUGUCCCUCUCGGCCUUCCUUUCUGUUCUGCAAGCAAAGGAUGCCCUCGAAGCGCGAGCUCACUCCCCCUCUCUGCACUCUGAACCAGCCGCUGCCAUUUGCCAACUUCUGCUUUUUCCAAAAAAAAAAAAAAAAACCCGCGACAGACUCCGGUCUGAGCGGCAGCGAACGCCCAAGACUUCAGGGCCGGGGGAACGGGUCGAGCAUCGCCGAAGGCAGAACCACCCCCGGCCUCCUCGCCCUCUUUGCUCCCCUUUCCAACAUUUUCGGAUGGGACUGCGGAUGCGCCGGUGCCGGCGUGGUCCUCUCCCAGGAACCGGCCGGCUGGAGACGGAGCCCAAAGGACGUGGGAGGUUUUGCUGUAAACCGAGAGCACGGCCCUAAACUCGUGCUCCUGCCUCGGGGGAGGCGGAGGGCUGGGGAAACGCACCUGGAAACACCCGAGCGUGGGGCUUGGAAAUGGCCCCCCGGCCGCGAGCGGUGCCCGCACGGCCUCUCCAUCGCUGGCCACCGCACCGGGAUGUGCCCAAGCAGGGCUCAGCCCCGCCGGGACACGCGUCGUGGGACACCGGUGGCAUCUCUGCUGGAGGACGAGCGUUAGGUGGAUGCUGCCGCGGCUCCGUUUCCAGCUGCCUUGGCCCCCGCCCUGGGGAAGGAGAGAUUUGCCCUUCCUUGGGAGCAAAAUGCAGGAUACCCAUGGGACCCCUAAUGCCAGCCGGGGUGCAAACCCCUCCUGCUCUGGUGCGGUUUGUUCCUGGCCCAGUAACACCGAUGCUGCUCUCCCGCCGCCCUGGGGGUCACCCCUCCGUCCCCGGUACGGCUGACACGGCAAAACCUUUCCGCCCCGCUCUCCACCGGGAUGCCUGCAGCUCCCGCGGCCGAGCCCUGCCAGUCCCCACAGCCCUCGGCCACGGGGACCAUCCCCGUGGCAGCAAGAGGGGAUGGCUGGACGUGGAGGACGUUCUCGCAGGUGUCCCGCGAUGCAGGAGAAAAGACGGUGCGCCAGCGGAGUCUGAAUCGUCCCCGCGCGCCAGGGACGGACUCUCCAGCCGAGCGAUGCCGGUCCUUUGCUGUACAGCCCUGCUCCCCAGUUCUGGGGCCGCGCGCUGGUGGCACUUUCCAAUACCCAUAAAAAACCACCCUUCCCCAUCCCCAAGGAGACCGGCCUCACGUCCACGUGCAAUAUUUCUGCCUCUUCUGCAGUUCCUGCCCCUGAGGGUGCCCAUGGUUCAUCGCUGAGGGCUCCUGGAGGGUGUCACCUCGCUCCCUCCCGUGGAAAAUUCUUUUCCUUGACGCUUUGUGGCCAAAACGCAACUCUCUUGGGUAGACCUUUGCAGUGCCUCCAACUUCUCUAGCGCUCGUCUGCCAGACCGGUCUCUUCCCGGUGCCAAUUGAUGUUCCCAAUGAAUGUGACACUGCUGUAAUCGCCUCCGCUGAUAAAUGAUGGACCCUGCGAUGUUUGACAUAAUUCCCAGGCAAAGGCAAACUUCACUUGCUCUGACACUUUCCCCUGAAAGGCUUUUAAUUUUCAGAGGACCUGCCAUGCUUUGAGCUCCAUCAGUGCUCGCCGACAUCUCACCAGGGAGGCAGCCCUGCAAGGGCAGCGGGGUGUGCGGCCCCCAUCGCGGGUGGGGUGAGGGACCAGCAUUGGCUUGGGAGAGCUUCAGACCCCAGAAAUCCCCAAAUUCAGUGUCCGGUGCUGCUGUCAUCACCAGCAACCUCCUGCUGCCGCUGAUGCUGGUGGGCUCAGGGAUGGAGCCCGACGCCUCAUCCUCCCUCACCCCUUGUUAAACAUUUGCACAUUAAAAAAAAGAAAAAGGAGCAAAAAGGAGAAAAGGUUUUAGCCUGUAUUCAAAAGCUCUGUGCUGCCUGACGAGGACCCUGUCGGUUUGGUGGCGACGGUGGGUUUUCCGGGGCAGACGCCCCUCCUGCAGGGUCAGGGCUGGCUCUUGUCCUCAGUCCUGGCUCUGGCCGCGGAGCGGGUCCCAGCGUGGGGUCCGUCCUGUCCCACUCUUGGCAUGCUGAGCGUCCCCGAGCAAAUCAUUUUGGCCCCAGUAUUCCCCCCCCCCCGACUGCAGAUUUGGGACCCUGGUUUGGAUGCUUCUAGCCUCCCUUUGGGGAGCACCGAGGGCCCCCGACUCCUGAACGUCACCAGGGUCUGCAGCUUCUUGGUACUGCUGAAAAUAAGGCUUGAAGCAUCUCGCCCUUGGAAAUGUUGGCCUUAACCUCCUCGUGCCUCAGUUUCCCCAUCAGUGAAAUGGCCUGGGUGAGCCAUCCCCUCUCCAGAGAGCGAUUCGACGCCUGUGCCCAGGGGAGCACGAGCGCUGGAUACAGCUCACGGCUGCGACCACGAGGGUUUGGCAGGACCCACCGAACAUCAGGCACGUGCGGAGCACCGGGAGCGGUGCGUGAACCGCUGGGUCGGAGUUUACAUCAGCGAAUAAUUAAUUCCGGUCUUCUUUUUACACCUGCUCAUUAUUAAAAGCGAACAGCUGACAAGACCUGAUUUGUUUCUCUUUAUACUCGGGUUCCUGAUGCCUGUCUGAAAUAAAGCCGGCUGCAGCCCUGGCGAUGGGAAGGGGACCCAAAGCGCAGCCAGGCAGAGGCGAGGGUCCGGCCCCGGCGACUGCGGCGUGUUCCCCCCCACCUCUCAUUUGUCCCCGUCGGUGUUAGCCCAUUAAAAUGCCGUGUCUGUACUUUCCUUUCUUUUCAUUUUUCUGUUUGUGUGCUGACUGUUGCUGCUUUGUAACCGUCUUUCCUUGAGCUCUGGGGCUGGGCUGGGCUGAGCUGUUUCCCCUGGAGAGCAAGGACGCGGGAGAAGGCUCUGGGGGCAGAUUCCCCCCCCGCCAUCACGGCACAAACCAGGACCCAAGAGAGAGAGAAGCAAAGUGGAUUUUUUCUCCGGAGCAGCCCUUUAAUUGCUGCGAUUCGUAACGAGACUGGGCAGCCCCCGGGAGCGCUCCCCGCCGGCUUUGUGGCUGGGGGUGUUUGCUUAUGGGGGACCCCAGACCCCGUUUGUGCCGGGUACCAGCUGCAUCUCACCCCACGGUGCAGAAGCGUGUGCCUGUCGGUGCCUGCCUCCCACACCGUCGGGACACCGCAUCCCAGUUGGAUGAGGGGGCUGGGGCUGUGGGACCCCCAUCCCAGAGCCACUGCUCCCCCCAAACGGGCAGGGGUGCAAGUAAGCAUCUGCCACCGGGCUGCCGUGGGGCUGCGCUUAACCUGGGGGGGGUGGAGGGGUCUUUGGGGUGUGGGGCCAAGCCCCGACUGGCACCGGGCUGGCUUCGAAGCGGGCGCCAGGCACGGCAUGGGGGCAGCCGAAAUCGCUGGCAGAGCUGCCCUCUUCCCAUGUAUUUAGGGUCAGGGGGGGUUUGGAUGGGCUGGGCGGGUGACCUGCAGCCAGCUCGCUGGCCCGUCGUCCCCAGUCCCAGGGUAAAGGUGGGGAUCUGGGGCAUUUUGAGAAGGUAUCAGCCACCCCUCCUUCACAGGGAUGUUGGAGGGGAGGGCACCGGCUGGGACGGUGGCGGUGGCCGGUGGGACAGGAGGGAGGGCUGGGGGCAAAGGAGGGACCUGAUAUGGCCCUGGUCUCGGUGCACAGCUUGGGGGUCUCCUUGCAGAGCAGUUUCGGGGUCUCGGUCACACGUGCCAGCCCCGACUAUGUUCCAGCGGCACUGCAGGAAAGCCGUCCUUCCUUCCCUUCUCUCUCUCUGCUCCUGCAGCCGCCAGCCCUGGGUUGGGUGCCACGUCCCGCGGGACCCCUGCCCGGGGGCAGCUGACCCCCGAGCUGAGAAACAGCAGCUCCAGCAAAGAGCCUUGUUUGUAAAGAUGAAGCCUGUUUGUGCGUCCGUGCCGGUGUCUCGGCUUGCAUGCCCUGCUGCCUUGUCUUGAGAUGAAUUCAAGAGCAAACCAAGCAAAUGAAACGGUUUCAAAACAAAACAAAACCCAGGAACUUUGUGACAGUGGAAAUAAAAGCUUAAUGACAGUACCGAAGCACCCGUGGUCUGUGAUGUGCUGCGGGGUGAGCCGG